rnacentral:rRNA from 1 species
GACGAACGCUGGCGGCGUGCUUAACACAUGCAAGUCGAGCGGUAAGGCCCUUUCGGGGGUACACGAGCGGCGAACGGGUGAGUAACACGUGGGUGACCUGCCCUCAGCUCUGGGAUAAGCCUGGGAAACUGGGUCUAAUGCUGGAUAUGACUCCACGGUGCAUGUCGUGGGGUGGAAAGCCUUGUGCGGCUGAGGAUGGGCCCGCGGCCUAUCAGCUUGUUGGUGGGGUGAUGGCCUACCAAGGCGACGACGGGUAGCCGGCCUGAGAGGGCGACCGGCCACACUGGGACUGAGACACGGCCCAGACUCCUACGGGAGGCAGCAGUGGGGAAUCUUGCGCAAUGGGCGAAAGCCUGACGCAGCGACGCCGCGUGAGGGAUGACGGCCUC